CUUCUCCACAAAGAGUGUGCUUGUUAAAUGAAAGCUGAAUUUGAGCAAAGCUGCUUGGGAAAAAGAAAGUGUUCUAUCAGAGAGACUCGGGUUAGUUUUGUCAAUUUGACCAAAGCUAGAGUCCUCUGGAAAAAGGGGGCCACAAUUGAGAAAAUGCUUCCAGAAGAUCCCGUUGUAAGGAAUUUUCUUAAUUAGUGAUUGAUAGGGAAGGGCUCACCCAUUGUGGAUGGUACCGUCACUGGGCUAAUGGUUCUGGAUUCUAUAAGAAAGAAGUCUACAGAAGCCAGUCAACAGCAUCCCUCCAUGGCCUCUGUAUCAACCCCGCUGGAGUUCCUGUCCUGGCUUCCUUCAAUGACUGCCUGAUCUUAGCUGAGUUGAUGUCUGAUCAUUAUAUUCUGCUCAGGAGAGGGCAUCAGAUUAAUCAGCUUAUGCUGCUUUCUCUCUCUGGACCUCACUUUUCUAUCUCAUCUUCACAGCAACCCAAUGCCUGAGAGCUGUACCCA
rnacentral:lncRNA from 1 species